rnacentral:rRNA from 1 species
UACGAAGGGUGCAAGCGUUACUCGGAAUUACUGGCGUAAAGCGUGCGUAGGUGGUUUGUUAAGUCUGAUGUGAAAGCCCUGGGCUCAACCUGGGAAUUGCAUUGGAUACUGGCAGGCUAGAGUGCGGUAGAGGGUAGUGGAAUUCCCGGUGUAGCAGUGAAAUGCGUAGAGAUCGGGAGGAACAUCUGUGGCGAAGGCGACUACCUGGACCAGCACUGACACUGAGGCACGAAAGCGUGGGGAGCAAACAGG